rnacentral:rRNA from 1 species
UACGAAGGGUGCAAGCGUUAAUCGGAAUUACUGGGCGUAAAGCGUGCGUAGGUGGUCUUUUAAGUCCGUUGUGAAAGCCCUGGGCUCAACCUGGGAAUGGCAGUGGAUACUGCGGGGCUAGAGUGCAGAAGGGGCAACUGGAAUUCUCGGUGUAGCGGUGAAAUGCGUAGAUAUCGAGAGGAACACCUGCGGCGAAGGCGGGUUGCUGGGCUGACACUGACGCUGAACUGCGAAAGCUAGGGGAGCGAACGGG